GCGACCUAGGAGUUAAAGGCCUCCGACCGUGAGAACUAUUACUUCCAUUUGGGUCCAAGCCAUCUUUUUCCGUAUCUGGGUUAAGCGGAGGCAGAGAAGUCCUCGAAGACGACCAAGAUGCUGACCUCCAGUACAUUCUCCGACCAUUUGCAAGUUGACAUUGUUCCUGAGAACCAUCAGCUCCACCAGCUGAAGCAUCUUCCUUUCCCGGCAUUCCGACAAUCAAAACUAGGGACAAACUCUAACUGCCACAGUGAAACUUCAGAUACAAAAUUCCCUAAGAACUUUCAAAAUUCUGGUUUUGAAAAUUACAUCCAGUAAAACUAACCCGAA
rnacentral:misc_RNA from 1 species